GACCUUGUGGCGCAAAGGUAGCGCGUCUGACUCAUGAUCAGAAGGUUGUGUGUUCAAAUCACGUUAGGGUCA
rfam:Xenopus laevis strain J chromosome 4L, whole genome shotgun sequence.